AGGAAACUUACAAUCAUGGUGGAAGGGGAAGCAAUACAUCCUUCUUCACAUGGUGGCAGCAAGGAGAAGUGCCAAGCAAAAUGGGGGAAAAAACCCUGAUAAAACCCUCAGAGAACAUGAGAACUCACUCAUAUCACAAGAACAGCAGCAUGGGGGUAACUGCCCCCAUGAUUCAAUUGUCUCCCACCAGGUCCCUCCCAUGACACAUUAAGGGAUUACGGGAACUACAAUUCAAGCUUUAGAUUUAGUGGGGGACCCAGUCAAACCACAUCACCUUCUUCAAGUCUUUCACUCAAAUGCUACUGUCUCUGUCAUGCCUUCCUUAUUUCCCUACUUAAAAUUGUAUCUCCUUCUCGUGUUCUUUAUUUGCUUUGUCUGCUUUACUUUCCUCCAUAGCACUUAGCAACACUUAACAUAUUAUAUAGUUUAAUUUUUUAUGUUAUUAUAUAUCUCCUUCCAAGAGAAUGUAAGCUCCAAAAAGGCAUAUAUUUUUUUCUUUCCUUUUUUUCACAGGAAAAAAGGAAAGGCCCUGUGUUAUAUCCACAGGGCCUACAACAGAAUGUGGUACAAGGUAGGAGCUUAAUGUGAAUGAAUGAAUGUUAGUCUUAUUACCUUUUAAGUUUACCUAAUUUUCUAAUUUUCUACAUUUUCUACCUUCCUCCGUCCUUUCCACCUUCCUACCUCCUUUGGGAUGUGCAUACAGAAAGCAGCAACAUUAAGGUAAGAAAGUUUAACCUUUGGAUUAAUAUUAAAACCUUGAGACAGUUUUGCUUUUCUGUUGCCUUUAGCAAAACCAC
rnacentral:lncRNA from 10 species